rnacentral:rRNA from 1 species
UAACACCUGGAAACAGAUGCUAAUACCGGAUAACAACAGAUGAUGCCUAUCAACUGUUUAAAAGAUGGUUCUGCUAUCACUCUGGAUGGACCUGCGGUGCAUUAGCUAGUUGGUAGGGUAACGGCCUACCAAGGCGAUGAUGCAUAGCCGAGUUGAGAGACUGAUCGGCCACAAUGGAACUGAGACACGGUCCAUACUCCUACGGGAGGCAGCAGGC